GGCGGAUGUAGCCAAGUGGAUUAAGGCAGUGNAUUUG
rnacentral:tRNA from 1 species